UAUGACAGCCCCUGUGUGGGGGUCUAUGGCUGUGACAAUGCAGUUCUGGCGGGACCCAACUGAGAGUACCAAUUCAGGACUAAUUUCUUAAACAGGGCAGUUACAGCCCAAGGCUGGAGUUUUUCCACCUCUAAGCCAAACCAAACCAGCCA